UGAUCACUUUGGUGUUUUCUUUUGUAUGAGCUGAGGCAAAAAUAACACCUGAAUAAGUAUCUAUAGAUGCAUGGAUAUACUUAUGUUUACCAAAUGCAGGGUAAACGUUAACAUCAGCCUGCCAAAUCUCACUAGGCUUGAGGCCCCGGGGUUUUGUUCCUGCUGGGAAGGAAUUCAGGGGAUAGUAAUUAACAGUCUGAGCAGAAGUAAAUGAUUUGUUUGGCCUCAUUCACAGUAAGGGUAAAUUGUUUUCUUAGAGCUUGCCAGUUUUGAUGGUAAAGAUUAUGGGAGGCUCUGGCUUCAAAAAGAGGAUAACAUUCUUGAGAAACUGUUGGGAAAAUGAAUAAAGUUUUACACCAUAAGAUGGCCGACGGGACUAAAACAAGCUCUGGUCUCUAGCUUGGAGACCCCUCUUCCGGGUUCUUCUUGCCCUGUUUGUUGAGCGGGCGCGCGCGUGCCAAAACCCUAUGGAAGCUGACAACUAUAAAUUACCCUUCCCACUUGCACUCAGCGUUCAGAUCUUUGGAGAAACGGUCUCCUCUGAGCCCACCAGUGUUAAAUAAACCUCUGAUCCACCGAGAUCUCCACCUCCGAGUGCCGGCUUGGUUUUUCCGCCAGCGUUCCAUCCUGGUUCCCUAACAUAUUUGGUUCCCUGAUUGGGAAACCCAACUGCGCCGGCCCAUUGUUGCCACUGGUUUGGGAGAAUGACGAGGCAGUGAUGGAAUGAGGAUUCGCAAGGGAGAAGGCGCACCCUGCCUGAAUUUCAGCAGUCUCCCACUCGGUCGCCCCGGGCCAACCCUGCUCCGCCAUUCCUGCCGGACUGGAGGAGACUUGGCAGGUGAGGACCUGGACCCGACGUCGGAACCGGUCACCAUCGGAAAUACUGGUUAUUUUACCAAGGCUUUGACUGGAAUGUCAUAUUUGAGAGUGACAUUCAUAGACUCAGAUGUGACCAGACAGCUUUGAGGAACUAAGGUUGGCUUUAUGAAACACGGAGCCAUAAAGCCCCUUGGAAAUGUUGGCCUGAUACCUUGCUUACAGAGUUCCCAGCAGCCUCACCAGGCUUCACAUCCAGGGCAAACCCCAGUGCUGGUCUUGAACUCACAACCCAGAGGUCAACACCUGAGAUGAGAUAAAGAGUUGGACACUUGGACACUUAACCCAUGCAGCCACCCAGGCCCACCUAAAGCAUAAUUUUAAGUGAUCAAUUAUAAAAACUUGGAAGGUUGGAAUUAAGGUUCUUUCAUGGGAAAGAACCAUAUCUUUUCAGAUUUAACAUCUGAAUUUACCACACCACCCUAUUCAGAUGCUUGGUCUUUAUUUCUAUUUUGGCGAAACCUAAACCUUAACCAAGGGGUGGUGUAGAAUUUGGUCAUAGUGCCUGGUUAACUGAAUGAAUGGGUGGAUGGAUACAGGAUUAUUUCAAACAUGCCUUGGAAAGUCUUGGAUUUUUACGUCCCAGGGCAGAGCUGUUCAUGCAGCUGUCUAAAGCCGUAGUGUUGGGUGGCUGAGAGGAUGCAGCUUCUCAAGACCCAGGAACCGAUGGCUGCAAAAUGGGAAGCAUUUCAAGUGUGGAAGACCGGCAUACACUUCAUGGCUGCCAUAGAAACGUGACUCUGUUGUGACAACCAUGAUGACUUUUCAAUACAGAGACGGAUUGGGAAGAAGAGGGGCCUUCAAGUGUUUGGAGCUUAGCUGAAGGUGUGGGUCCCCUCAGUGGAGCUGAUCUGUCCCAGAGUCUGGGGAGACAAAGGAAUCCAGGUCCAAGUCUCCUCUUUCCUCCUUUGGAGCUCGGCACCCAGAGUGUCUCAUGGGUAAACCUGUUGGGGUCUGGUCUGGGUCCAGUGAGUGUGGGUCCUGCUCCAGGGGUGUCCUGGAGCUACUGUCCUGUGAAGGCAGGGGUGCGGGAGGGAAGGCAGAUAAUGAAUAUGCACCUGGCUUCCCUUCUGCAGAAUGGGGGUGUGAAUGCUUCACCCACAGGGUCGCCGAGAACACUCGGUGAUACACAUGACCAAGUCCCUGGCCCUGUGAUUACUGCAGGAUCAUGAAUGCCUGUAUGAUUUCAGGCCACUUGUUACUCCUUUUCUUCUUUGUUGUUAGGGGAUAGAAGAAAAAGGCCCGGUGAGAAGUUCAUUGUAACAUGUAGUUGUUAUGAUCACAGCCCACUUGUUGUGAAGUAGGGAAGCUGAAGGGGCUCCAUUUUACAAGUGGUUUUUCUACCAGGCCCCAUUUAGCCUGCCAGGCUCCACAUUUGGCCUCUGAAUAAGACAAAGAGCUAUGUUCUCACUUCAACGGGGAAGCAAGAAAGUUAAUCAUUCUCUGAGAUUUGUCGAAGGCCCCAGACACCUGAUAACACCUAAGAAGAGCCAGAUCCAAAACAUGUUCCAGGACACUGGCUUCAAACAAACCUCAGCUGACGAUGGCAUCAAUACCCCUACCUUUGGUAAUUUAUGAAAUAACACCUAUUGUUCACCUGACGCUUGCCUUUGAUUGGACACUACCAUGGAUUCCCCUGGAACGUGUACCCUAAACCCUUUUUAAAUACAAACUCCUAGCCCAAAGCAAUGACAAGGCUCAUUCUCCUUUCCUUUCUGAGUCUCCCCCAGGCACUCUGCUAUUUUCUGUUCUUUCAUGCUAUUUGAUAAACUCUGUUAGCACUUUCUCCAGCUAACGUUUGAUUUCUACCACUUUUGAGGCCAAGGACCCUCUUGGCUGGUCCUGUGGUACCGUUCCCUGGGUUCUUGGACUCAGCUUGACUGCAUCAGUAUCAAUGUCAGUGUCACUAGACUAGUGCCUAGCAUGCUGCUGGGCACAUAGUUACUCUUGCAAAUCAUAGCGAUAGCUGGAUCUGUCUCUCCCUCUUCAGAACUUCAUUCCAUUGGCCACGCUCUUAUCAGGUGCCGGAAGGAGACAGGUUAUGAGGAUCUGAGUCCUGGUGGCUGCUGAAACCUCUACCCCAUAUUCAAGGACAACAGUCCUCAGGAGACACUAACAUUUCACAUUCCUGGUGGGAUAUGAUGCCUGGCACAAGUGAGUUCAUAGACCUGAACAAAAGCAUGUUGUGGAAUAGCUCCUGUAAGGUUCAAAAACUAACCUAAAAGCAGAGAAACUACUUAAACCACGUCAUGGGAGGAGAAGUUUAGCAGGUGGAAUUUCAAUCCACCAACAGGUGUGUUAGUAAAUCUUGAGGCCCAUCUUAGAGAAUUCCUCAUUUGUCUGAAAGGGACAAAUUGUGCACCUGAAAAUGACUUGGUCAUUAACGUGCACUUGCAAUAAAUAUAUUUUUUCUGAUUGCAUAAAUAAUAAUUAAUGAAUUCUAUGUUUCCUCAGAACGAUGUGAAAAUAGGCAUUUAGAAGGGUUCGUAGCAACUUGAAAUCUUAACACAGAUUCUUUCCUGGUUUGCUCGGUUUUACCCAUACUACAAAGAAAAAAAUUAAGGGCCUAAAAUUUUUGUAGUGUGAGUUAAAAGUGUCACUUACAAGACUUCGGAAUUUUUAUAAUAAUAAUUACCAACGUGUCUUCCCUGCUAUCAUGAUACCCAGAAUUUUCCCUUAUACAAAUCAGAAGUUGUUAAAUGUCAGUAUGAUUAUAUUCCUGGUACGUGACGUUUUAAGUUCAGUACUCAUGGACCACAGUUUCCCUCAACAUGCCAUGUCCCCAAGCAACUAUUUAGUAUUUUUGUCAAUAGAUUAGUUUUGAUUGUCUGUAACUUUGUGUCAAUCGUUGCAUUUUAUUUUUAUCUGGCUUAUUAUACUCAGGCAUUUAUUCAUUUAUUAACAGUUCCAUUAUCUUUUAUUUGACAUGAAUAUAUAAAACACUAUUGAUGAGAAGCUACUUUGACUCAUCAUGGGCAAAGAAAUUUAGCAAGUAGAAUUGCAUUCCAUCAGCAACUACACGUUGUGCAGUAGCCUUUGAAGCCCAUCUUACAGGUGCCUGAUUGCUGAAAAGCAAUAGAUUAUACAGAUGGAGACAGAAGUUGGUCUUUAUAGGCAUGUGUAAUAAAUGUCGCUAAUGUUUUGCUAAGAAAAAAAAAAACUAAGUAUGCAAAGGGCCACAUAUAGUAUGAUUCCAUUUUUUAUGAAAUACUUAGUGGGAGGCCCUCAAUAUGCUGUACCCAAUAAAUUACCCUCUUUCCAUUCUGACUUUCAGAAGCUCUGGUAGGUUUGAGUCACAGUCCCUCCCUCUUAUCUUUCCUGUGAUGUUCAACAGCAGUUCAGGCUUUUGUCAUAAGAUGGCACCAAAGUACCACCAUCAUUAAACUUCUCUUCUAAGAAGUGUCUGCAAGGAGUAAAAACGUAACAAUAAUAUCCCCUAAACCCAGGUUUUGUACAUAAACAAGAGAAUUUUAAUUUUUUUCUGAAAAAGAAAAAAAAAAAACCUUGUAGGUGUAAAGGAAAAUUGUUAAAACAUAUACUCCAUUUUCCCCAUUGAGGAGGAUAUUAACUGUGAGCCUUUCAUAUGUGGCUUUUAUGAUGUCGAGGUAUGUUCCCUCUUACCCCUACUUUCUUAAGGGUUUUUAUCAAGAACUGAUGCUCUAUUGUGUCAAAUGUUUUUUUUCUGCAGUUUUUGGAAAGGAUUAUAGAGUUCUUUAUUCCAGAGCCUGCAGACUUUGAACACCUGGUGGCAGUAGUGCACCUUGACAAUCAGUGGCAGGUAUUCCAAGGGUGGUACAGGUGUCUAACCUGUAGGUGACUGAGUAGGUGACUCAGAGAGGAUGGGGGUGUCAGAGCUGGAUCUGGGCAGCUAUGUCUUGUGUCAUGGACAGGGAAUGAUAGAGAGGAAAAGAAGGUCUGAGCAGCCUCUACAAGGUUGGAGAAAUGGAGGGUGAACACCCUGUUCUCUGAUAGGGAACUUCUGUACAGUCCACACUACACAACAGCUGACAGUGAUGAGGAAAGAGAUAAAUCAAUGAUUAUGAUGAAAGUUAGGGUCAACAACAAAUGGAACUUUUUUAACAUACUUAUGACAUACUUAUACAUAAUUGUAACAUACUUGCAUACAUACUUAGUGCACUGACCAUGGUGUCCUCAAUAAGAGAUACCUGAGUGCCUUGAUUAAUUGCUUCAGAGGAAUGUGGAAGCCUUUCAAGCACAAAUGAUUAACUGCUGAGCACCAGCUUCUUCUGCAUAUAUCCCUCACCAUUUCCUCGCACCUUCCCCUUAAAAAACCUUCUGCUUUUCCUGGACAGGGAAGAUGGUCUUUGCAAAGUUAUUCUGCCAUUUUCCCAGGUUGCUGGCUUCCUGAAUAGUGCAACUUUUCCUUUCUCACCAUCACUUGUCUCUUGAGCAUUGGCUUUUGGUGGGAGAUGCAGGAGAGAAGCAUCAAGGGAAAAGACUUCAAAAGGGAAGGGCUGGAGAAGGUGCAAGGCCUUAGGACAUGUUUACACAGCUGAACAUGGCUGCUGCUCAUAAGGAAUGCCUAGAGCCAUUAACAUUGUCCAGGGAUGGAUCCUCCCUCACACCUGAGCCUUCCUUAGUCUUAUAGAAACCAAUUAACUCGAAAUUCAACCUUGAAAAGCUAAACCGUUAGAUUGAUUAACACACUUGCUUAGCUGACUUUAUGCACAUAGUCUUUAGCAAUUAUCCUAAUAAAAAGAAGCUUCAUUCUGGAGUCAGGGCCUCAUUCAGACUCAAGAAUGAGGACCUUCACUUAACUGAAUUUUGUUUGCACACUCAUCUUUUGCGAUUCUGGCCAUACUCCCUGCAACUGCUUUUGAGCUGUCUUAAAGAUUUGCUGAUUUCCCUAAGUCUGCAGUCACCAUCCAAUACUUCCCUUUCCCUCUUCUUUUCAGCUUCAUUAUUUUCAUAAUUUUAUCUUCUACAUCACUGAUUCACUCCUCUGCUUUGUGCAUCCUUCGUUGUCAUGGCAUUCAUUCAGGUUUGCAUCUUGGUUAUAGCAUUUUUUAUUUCAACCUGACUAGUUUUUAGUUCUUUUAUCUCUUCAGUAAGGGAUUCUCUAAGGGAUUCUCUAUGCUUUUUUCAAGCCCAGCUACUAUCCUUAUAAUUUUUGUUUGAAAUUCCCUUUCAGACAUCUUAAUGUGAAUUGAUUAAAUGCCUGUUCUCUCUCUUGGGGUUAAUUCCUCCAUCUUGUGAUUUUGAGGUCAAUUUAAAAAAAAAACAUGAAUGUAGAUCCUUGGUGUGGGUUGUUCUCCUUCUUAGAGAAGUUUGAUCCAAAUCAAUCAAUCAAUCAAUCAAUCAAUUAAUAAUGAAAUAAAUCAUUAAAAAUAAGUAAUUGCUUUUCCUAUACUCAAAAAAUUUGUAAAUAAAACCCAAAGGAACCUAGAUCAUGCUUCCCAUAGAGUUCAAGCUUUGAAGCACUCUAUGAUUCACCAGUAGAGUUGGUGUAUGUGAGGGGCUUGUGUUGGACUUCUAGGGGUGGGGCCUGUUGUGUUGAUUCUUAGGCGGGACUUGCCCUAAUGGAGAUGCACUUGCAGGGAGCAACUCUGGCCUUCACCUGGUGGCACUGUUUGCUCACUGAAGUAAGUCAGUGUUGAUGGGUGUGGAGGGGGGGAAAUGGUGUUGCCCUGCUCUCUUGUCUCUGAAGCAGGGCGCUCAGGCCUGCCACUCCAUAGAAAGCCUGAACAUAAGAUCAAACAAUCACCCCUCUUGUGUCCCUGGCUGCUGUCAUAUCCCUGCCUUAAUCUUGUCUUUAUUUCAGCUGUCUGCCUGCCAGGCAACACAGUACUCUCAUGUUUUAUCUCAGGCACAGUUGGGUCUCAAAACUCCAAACUUCAGAGACCCCCAUGGCAUAGACCUGCACUGAUACUCUAGGAGAGGGUCUUGCUGUGCUGUGGCUGAGUGUUGGUUUGUCCCAGAAAAUAGCUGGGUGACCCUGCAGGGCUUGGAGUUUGUGGUAAAGCAUAGCAGAAAGAUGGCACCAAGGCUCACUGCCCUCACCAGGCAUCUUUGUUCUUAUGCUGAUGAAUCACACAGGUUAAUGGCACCCAUAGGUUCUUUUGUCUCCAGACAGGCAGUGCCCCCUUCCUAAAUGCACUCCAAGAUUGGUACAGUUUCUCCCAGUGUGACCCAGGGCAUUCUCAGACCAUGCUGCCCGCUCCUGGGUCCUCACCUUCCUUCUCCACUGGGAUACCACUAAACCCACCAGGUGUGACCCUGUUGAUGGCACAGACCUCUAAAUCUUAAGACUUGGUACUCUGUUGCUUACUUAAAAAUGUGCGGUAUUUAACCCCUCUCCUCCACCCAGUUAUGGCUUUAGGGAAGAGUUUUCUUGUGCAAUCCCCUAUGCAUGUUUCCACAUUUUUUAUUACUCUCUCAAUCCUCUCUCUGUGAUCAGGGCUCCCUCCCCUCUACAGCACCGAUGGCUCAUUUCUCCCCCAAACCAACUCUCCACGGUUCCUACCGUCACCAGGGUCGUUGUUUUUCUACUUGUAGAUGUGCAGGUUUGUUCUCUCAAUCCUCAGAUUGAUUUCUUGGGUGUUCAGAAUUAUUUGAUAUUUAUCUAGCUGUAUUCAAGGGACGAGGGAAGCUUAGGGUUGCCCUCCUCUUCCACCAUCUUAACCCAUCUCCAUGGUAUUGUAUGGAAUCUAUACAUCAGUUUGAGGGAAUAGACAUCUUAACAAUACUGAGUCUUCUGACCCCUCAAGAGGACAUGUCCCUCCAUUUAUUUAGGCCACUGUUUAAUUUCUCUCAGCAAUGUUUAGCAGUGUUGAGUACAGGUCUUGCACAUCUGUGGGCCUCCAUGUUUUACAUAGGGUAUGCCUAUGUCAUUCAUACUUUUUGAUGUUCUUGUCAAUGACUGUUUUUAUUACUAUUUCUAGGCAUUAUAUUUUCACUUAACUGUUAAUAUCCAAAUGUUGCCGGGGAAUAUCUUUGGUUGAAAGCACACAUUACUCAGGAUACUUGGCUAUUAGCACCUAUAGUAGUCAGAGGUUACUGGAGGAACAGAACCAAUGAGAUGUUGAUAUAUAGAUAGAAAUUUAUAUUAAGGAAUUGAGUCAAGAGGAAGUGGAGGCUAGGCAGAAUCUGAUAGGAAACUUUGACAAGUUGGAGACUCAGGAAAGAGUUAGAGUUGGAAUCUGAAUAUUGUCUGCUGGGGAACAACAGGUGCUGAUGUGAAGUCAAAGGCAGUCUUUGGGCAGAAUUCCCUUUGACUCAAGGGAGAUCAACCCUUUGUUCAAUUCAGGACUUCAAUUUAUCAUUUGAGGUCCAAUCACAUUAAUGGAGGAUUAAUUGCUUUACUGAAGUGUACCCAUUCAAAUGUAAAUCUUACUCAAAGGCAUCUUACAGAAAUAUCCAGAACAAUGCUUGAACAAAUAUAUGAACACUAUGGUCUUCCCACGUUGGCACAUUAAAAAUACCAUCAUAUUCAUUUGACUAGAUUUCCAUAGAGGUUUUUAGAUAUCAUUGGCAAUGUACUGAACCUAGGGAGUAAAAUAUCCUUCAGAAAAUUGUACAGGUGGUCUCUAGAAAAUCGGUCACUAAUAUGAAACAGUUCAGUAACUUUCAACUUUCAACCUACACCCACAACUGCAUUACUUCCUGUGCAGUCACCCAGGUUUCCAGGAGUCAUGGUCAAGCUUAGACUAAACUUUCAUGGGAUGGAGUCCACUUGAGGUAAUAUCUCACCACCCCAUGAGGUGGGCACUAACAUCCAUCCUGUUUCCGGGGGCGUUUUGAGUAAUCCAGUCGAGGUAUCAAGAGAAAUAAGAUGUGGAUACUAGUGGUUGAAUUGGAUGGGCAGUGCCCGGCACACAGUAGACAUCUAAUAUACAUUUAAUUAUGUGAGACAUAGAUGUAGGUGUAAGUAGGAAAUGAAACUAUGUAUAUGUUCUUUCAUUCUUUUUAUACACAUAGAAAUUUUUCAGAGCAUUGGGGUCACACUUUUGUCAUUGUUUCAACCGGUUUUAAGAAAAUUUUUGUCUUGUUAUCUAAAAUAAUGUCUUUUAAUUGGGAAAAGAUAAACUGUAGAAAAUGAAAAAGAUGCCUCUGUGUAGAUGUGUAUGACCCUGCAGUGGGUCUUCUGCAAAGUGGGCAAUUGAAAUUUACCUUACACAGCUACUGUGAGGAGAAGUGAACAAACCAAUAAAACAUAUCCAACAUGUAAUAUUGUGAAACUUCAGCAAAUAUGUGUGGGGUCACUCCUGCGGUCUCUUCAUAGCAAAAGAGAUGACUUAACCGUGAAAAACUCAUAGACAUCAUUGGGAUUUGGUGCAGCAAGGAAGGAAAUGUGCACAUAUUAUAUGCUGGGUUAGCUUUAGUACCAUUUAUUUGUAGAUGAGUUACCUGAUUAUGGUGAAGAAGAGGAAACACUCCAUCCCCUAAAACUGUUCGUUUGUGUGUGCAACAUAGUUAUUUGACAUUCAUAUUUGUAUUGUGAAAAAAUCACCACAAUAAAUCUAUCUUACAUCCAUCACUUUA